rnacentral:tRNA from 1 species
GAGGGUAUAGCUGGUGGUAGAGUGCAUGCUUAGCAUGCAUGAGGUCCUGGGUUCAAUUCCCAGUACCUCCU